UCUGUCUUCACAUGCUUUACAGCAUAUCCCCCUUAUUUGGUCUGUCUUCACGGGCUUUACAACAUAUCCCCCCUUAUUUGGUCUGUCUUCACGGGCUUUACAGCAUAUCCCCCCUUAUUUGGUCUAUCUUUAUAGGCUUCACAGCAUAUCCCCCCUUAUUUGGUCUGUCUUCACAUGCUUUACAGCAUAUCCCCCUUCUUUGGUCUGUCUUCACAGGCUUUACAGCAUAUCCCCCUUAUUUGGUCUGUCUUCACAGGCUUUACAGCAUAUCCCCCUUAUUUGGUCUGUCUUUACAGGCUUUACAGCAUAUCCCCCUUAUUUGAUCUGUCUUCACAGGCUUUACAGCAUAUCCCCCCUUAUUUGGUCUGUCUUCACAUGCUUUACAGCAUAUCCCCCUUAUUUGGUCUGUCUUCACAUGCUUUACAACAUAUCCCCCUUAUUUAGUCUGUCUUUACAGGCUUUACAGCAUAUCCCCCUUAUUUGGUCUGUCUUUACAGGCUUUACAGCAUAUCCCCCUUAUUUGGUCUGUCUUUACAGGCUUUACAGCAUAUCCCCUUAUUUGGUCUGUCUUUACAGGCUUUACAGCAUAUCCCCCUUAUUUAGUCUGUCUUUACAGGCUUUACAGCAUAUCCCCUUAUUUGGUCUGUCUUUACAGGCUUUACAGCAUAUCCCCCUUAUUUGGUCUGUCUUCACAG
ensembl:lncRNA